UACGUAGGGGGCGAGCGUUGUCCGGAGUUACUGGGCGUAAAGAGCUCGUAGGCGGUUUGUCGCGUCUGCUGUGAAAACGCGAGGCUCAACCUCGCGCCUGCAGUGGGUACGGGCAGACUGGAGUGCGGUAGGGGAGAUUGGAAUUCCUGGUGUAGCGGUGGAAUGCGCAGAUAUCAGGAGGAACACCGAUGGCGAAGGCAGAUCUCUGGGCCGUGAACUGACGCUGAGGAGCGAAAGCGUGGGGAGCGAACAGG
rnacentral:rRNA from 1 species